ACACAAACAUCUUGAGUGCUGCG
rnacentral:piRNA from 1 species